UACGGGGGGUGCGAGCGUUGUCCGGAUUCACUGGGCGUAAAGGGCGCGUAGGCGGCUGGGUCAGUCGGGCCUGUAAGUGCGGGGCUCAACCCCGUGAUGGGCUCGGGACGGCCCGGCUGGGGCGCGGUCGAGGGAGACGGAAUGCCGGGUGUAGUGGUGAAAUGCGUAGAGAUCCGGCGGAACACCGGUGGUGAAGACGGUCUCCUGGGCCGAGGGCCGACGCUGAGGCGCGAGAGCGUGGGGAGCGAACCGG
rnacentral:rRNA from 1 species